UGGGUAACCUGCCUCAAAGAGGGGAAUAGCCUCCCGAAAGGGAGAUUAAUACCGCAUAAUAUGUUUAGUCGCAUGACUUUAACAUCAAAGGAUUUUCUUUUAGAAAUUCCACUUUGAGAUGGACCCGCGGCGCAUUAGCUAGUUGGUGAGGUAACGGCUCACCAAGGCAACGAUGCGUAGCCGACCUGAGAGGGUGAUCGGCCANAUGGACUGAGACACGGUCCAGCCUCCGUAGGGAG
rnacentral:rRNA from 1 species